ensembl:snRNA U6 U6 spliceosomal RNA
GUGCUCACUUUGGCAGCACAUAUACUAAAAUUGGAAUGAUACAGAGAAGAUCAGCAUGGCCCCUACGCAAGGAUGACACACAAAUUCGUGAAGCGUCCCAUAUUUAA